AUGUGCUCUUCCGAUCCUCUCCAGCUUCCUUUUCCGGCACUUGGAGGCAGCUAUGCGGUUCCUCAUGCGCUUCCUCUCGGCCUUGAUCCUCUCUUGCGACUCCAUGUCGAUGGGGGACAGGGGCGGCGUCUCCCCGGGCAUCUCGGGCACCGUCUGCGGCUCCUCCUUCAGGGCCUGCAGGCGCGGGUGCUGCACGGGGAGCUGCUGGGGCAGGUGGUGCGGCGCUUGCGGGGGCUGCUGCGGCUGCUGCUGCUGCUGCUGCUGCUGGGGCUGCGCGGGAAAGGCCAGGCCGGCCGCGCCGUAGGAGGGCGCCCCGCCGCCGCUGCUCAGCGCGCCCGGGUUGAAGUUGCUGAGGUUGGCGUAGACCGGCGGCUCGCUGUGCAGGCCCGCGCUGAAGCCGCCGCCGCCGCCGCCGCCGCCCGCCGCGGAGGCCACCGCCGGGGCCACCAUGCCCGCGCCGCUGACCGGCUGCGCCGCCGACGUGACGCUGGGCAGCGUGUUCUGGCUGUGCAGCUCGGCCAGGGCGCGCACGAAGCCCUCGGCGAAGCCCUCCUGCUCGUCCGUCACGUUCUUGGGGCACAGGAACUGCGUGGGGGUCGGCGUGGUGGUGAUGUGCCCGUUGCUGGACUGGAUGAUCAGGCGCUCCAGCUCGGGCGAGGCCAGCUUGAGCAGCCCCACGUCGGGCGAGGUGAGCAGGUCCGAGUUCUUGGCCCGGAGGUGCGGCUUCAGGCUGCCCACCGGGUCGGCCAGGUUCAGGGUCAUGCUCUGCUUCAGGAUCUUGGGGUUACUGUAGCCGUAGGCGCCGCUCUCGGACUGCAGGAACGAGGCGUUGAGGGCAUCGUCGUAGAAGGUCGUUUCCAUCUUUGCAGUCAUAGAACAGUCCGUCACUUCGCGCGGGGUUACUUUGGGCUGCGCGCAGAAGUUUCGGGGCCGCAACAGCGCGCUGGCGAGCGGGGGACCCCCGCGCCUCCCGGGUGGGGGGGGCGGCCCUGGGCUAGAGGAAAGUUUCUGGAGGGGCGCGCGCUCCCGCCGGCGGUCCUCCCCCCGCGCCCCGCUCACCGGCUCCGGCCGCCGCCGCGCUCCUCCUGGGUCAGCUGGCGCGCGCGCUGCCCGCCUCGGGGAAAAGUCGCGGUCACCCACGGGGCGCGCUCGGGGCGCUCUCGGGGCGCGGCGGCUCCCGGGGGCCCGCGGGCCCGCCCCCGCGGCGACAGGGGGAGGGGGCGCCGGGCAGCCGCGGCUCGCGCUCGCCCAAGUUCAGCCACCGGGGCGAGGGGCGCCGAGCGCACGUCCCUCCGCGGUCUCCUCGCUCCGCCGCCGCCUCUCUCGUCCCGGCCGCCGCCGCCGCCGCCGCCGCCGCCGCCGCCGCAGCCUCAGGCGCGGCAGAGCUUUGCAAAAGUUCGCUCCGGGACCCGGGCCACUCGUCCCCUGUGCUCCCGGCCAGGAAAGUUCUGAGCCGCCGCAGCCACUCUCUGCACUUGCGCGGACGGACCGUCGCCGCUCUCCGCGCUGUCACGGCUCCCGGGCGGCGGGGCUCUCCUCCCGGGGGCGGCUGGAGAAGGGGGUUCUCCGGGCGCUCCCCGAAACACCAGCCCGGGAGCCACAGGCGCUAGCUCCGGCCAGUCGGCGAGGAAAAUGCAAAACGGAAAGCGGAUUUUGCAGCCCGGACUCUCCGGCCGUCUCGCCUGCCCGCGGCCGCCCGCCUCCCCGAGUCCGCGCUCCUCCACUCCCACCUCGCCGCCUCGGCCACACUCAGUGCAACUCUGAGCCCUUAUCCAGCCGGAGCUCAACACUUAUCUGCUACCAGUCAACCCCUAAAAAUAGCCCAUGAUGUCACCCCAAGGCCUUCCCAUUGGCUCGCGUCGCUCUCCAGGGGGCGGGCCCGCCCGUCGCCAUGGAGACCCCACCCUAGAAGAUUCUUCUCCGGCCCCGCGGAGGCUCACGGGAUGAGGUAAUGCUCCGCUGCCCUCCUACAGUUGGGCCCUUCUUUCUCCUCCUCCCCCUCCCCCUCCCUGUCUCAAAUAGGACUACCUCUCGUCAUGUGACACCAAUUGUCU
rnacentral:lncRNA from 12 species